GAUCCUAUAGCUCAGUUGGUUAGAGCGUGGUGCUUAUACUAAGUAUACACAGUGAAAUUGUAUUCACAUGAGGCACGCCAAGGUCGCGGGUUCGAGCCCCGUUGGGAUCA
rnacentral:tRNA from 1 species